rnacentral:tRNA from 1 species
GGGGCUGUAGCUCAGUUGGUAGAGCGCCUCCAUGGCAUGGAGGAGGCCAGGGGUUCAAUUCCCCUCAGCUCCACAA